GACACACACAUCUGUCAUACACCUAGACACACACACACCUAGACACACACAUCUGUCAUACACCUAGACACACACCAAGACAGCGUUUAGAGGUUUGGGUCAGUAACCGAAAGGUCUCUAGUUUAAAUCCCCAAGCCGACAAGUUGGUGGUGGGGGGGGGGGGUGGUCUGUCGACGGCACUUAACCCCGAAUGCUUUCAGUCACCGUUCAUAAUGGCUGACCCUAGCCGUGACCCCACUCUCCGAGGGCGUCUCAGGGAGAGUUGGGAUAUGCAAAAAAACACAUUUCCAAUUCACACACGUGAAACCCUGGUACGUGUGACAGGACUGAUAUAAAGGAUUAUUAGCUGAAGACACUCUGCACAUAUACAUACCGUUGCUGUCUGAUGGAAACCUUGUAACUCCAUUUGUAUUGAAUGCAGUAACUCCCCUCCAAUAUAGACUGAAUAUUUCCUGACUCUACGACUAAGAACAUAUGUUUAUAAAAGGUCCUGAAGUUUGGUAAUUAUGUUUGUUAAAAAUAUGACUUUUUUUCCCCCAUUUCUUGAAGUUUCUGUUUUGGAGAUGGGCCUAUAGGGUUCUCAUCAGAAAGCUAUGAUACACGUGUGUGUGUGUGUGUGUGUGUGUGUAUACUCACACAUCUGAGAGUCACAAACACCCACAGCUGGAGUGUAACACACACUUAUCCAAACACGCUUGUCAUACACCUGACCAAACACGCAUGUACACACACACACACACACACACGCAGGCCCAACUCAUACAUUGUCACACAGCCAUACAUAUACAGGUAUCAUACACAGUGGAUACAGCACACUAGGUUGGGAGUCAUAGGGGAAACCAAUAUCUCUUACUGCAUGUGUUUAUGGAUGUGGGUACGUAAACCCGCAAGGCACUGUGGCCCCUCAUGAUGAGUUCUGUUGUUUUUAUUUUGGCCCCCCACCCCGUUAAAGUUGCCCGUCCUUGGUAUCGACUGACAGGAGACUGUGCUAGAACGUACUGUAGCUGUGCCAUACUCUAAUAGUGGCAAACCACUUUAUAAGCACUUUACAUUUGUCAAUCCUUUACUUGAUUUAGUCUUUAUGCAGUAUGUCACGAACCUGAAACGUCAGGAUGCUUAUAAGCUGGUUGUAAUAAGUUGUGUUCGCCACUGAGUUCAGACCGUGACGGACACAUUGAACAGGGAGUUGUUCCGUAUGCUGGUUUGGAACAUCGCAGAAAACUUCUCUUGGGUUUUAAUCAGUCACGUCACUGUCAGUCUCUGGUUUGGACGGCCAUUUUGAUCCAAUGACAACAGCACUUUGCCGUGAUCAUGUGACUUCACAGGGAUGCUGGCACUUACUGUACAAACAGACAUAAACACACUUCCAUGAAAAAGUGGAUCUCACAUGAUCCAUAUUCACCAUUUCUUUCUCUUACCUUUUCUCGCUCUCCUUCACCUUUUUAUCUCCAUCCCUCAAAUCACCCCCCCCCCCCUGACCCUCCCACCUAUGGGGCAUGGUGUAUGUGAACAGAGUGAUACGAGAGGGUGGCGUUAUAGAACUGGUACAGGAAGUUGAGGUCAAGUCAUAGAGGGAUUUAAGGGAAGAUGGGUGGAAGUGAGGAUCUGAGGGUUACUGAAUAAGAACUGUGGGGUUUACAGAAUGUUCAAAGGAGAGUUCUAGAACGGUGGAGGUUGUCUGGGGGUAAACAUACUAUACACUACAGUAUGCCAUACAGACUUUAGUUCAGAACAGUACAGGUGUAGUACACUACAGUAUGCCAUACAGACUUUAGUUCAGAACAGUACAGGUGUAGUACACUACAGUAUGCCAUACAGACUUUAGUUCAGAACAGUACAGGUGUAGGACACUACAGUAUGCCAUACAGACUUUAGUUCAGAACAGUACAGGUGUAGUACACUACAGUAUGCCAUACAGACUUUAGUACAGAACAGUACAGGUGUAGUACACUACAGUAUGCCAUACAGACUUUAGUUCAGAACAGUACAGGUGUAGGACACUACAGUAUGCCAUACAGACUUUAGUACAGAACAGUACAGGUGUAGUACACUACAGUAUGCCAUACAGACUUUAGUUCAGAACAGUACAGGUGUAGUACACUACAGUAUGCCAUACAGACUUUAGUUCAGAACAGUACAGGUGUAGUACACUACAGUAUGCCAUACAGACUUUAGUACAGAACAGUACAGGUGUAGUACACUACAGUAUGCCAUACAGACUUUAGUACAGAACAGUACAGGUGUAGUACACUACAGUAUGCCAUACAGACUUUAGUACAGAACAGUACAGGUGUAGUACACUACAGUAUGCCAUACAGACUUUAGUACAGAACAGUACAGGUGUAGUACACUACAGUAUGCCAUACAGACUUUAGUACAGAACAGUACAGGUGUUGGUUUAUGACUGCUGAAUGUCCUUUUGGGUGGGUGGUGAUGCUGCUGUUGCUCCUGCACCGCCCCCUGUCGUUACCCCCCGACCCCCUCAAAUAGACAGACAGACCCCUCUCUCUCUAUAUGUAUAUAUAUAUAUAUAUGUGGGGGAGGAGGUGUGGUAAAAGAAUAUAUAUAUAAAUAGUUGAUUUAACAGCAAUUUCAUGUGGGAUGUAUAGGAAAUAAUGUGUUAAUAUUGUACAUUUUUAGAAUUGAAAAAAAAAUCGACAUUUAAAAACAAAUCCAAGUUGAGACCAAUUAACUGCUUGUAUUGUGAAGACACAAAUCUCUGUGAUAACUGACAUGGUCUUUACCAAUGCUUUGAAACAAGGAAAUGAAUGAAAGAACAUGAUCAACAACACCUUGUACAUACACACACACACACAGUGUGGUCCUGGAGUAGUGUUAUUAGAUUCCGUUGGGGUUCUAUCGAGUUCCGUUGGUUCUAUCGAGUUCCAUUGGGGUUCUAUCGAGUUCCGUUGGAUCCCAUUAAAUUCCGUUGGAUUCUAUUGUCUCUACUUGUUCAGACUCGCUACUGACCUGUGAACUAUUCUCCAUCUUCUCUUGUCCACUCAUUCUUUCUGCAAAGAACCUUCAGGUCUCUCCCCAAACUGAGGAGGAUGUGCUGUACUCCUCUUCCUUCCUAAUGGUUUUCAUUUGCUGUUCGGGUUUUUAUUUCUCUUAUCGAGAGAAAUGUUUUUUUUUUUUUAUCUACAUCGAUUGAUGUAAUUCAGUUGGUCAGAUUAUGAUGACAUCUAGAUUAUACUCUGAAUGGUCAGAUUAAAAUAAGAGAUCCACUCUGGUUCAUCCGUGGAGAGACGGGAUCUCUACGGUCUGAUCAGUAGAGUUACUGGAACCAUUCCCACGCCAUGCAAUCUGUAUUAAACUGGAUAGGUUGUGCAAAAAAAGAUGAAUGUCUUACAUAAAAGAAUAUAUACAAUUAUAGAAAAAGUGAUUUUAAAAAAUGUUUAAAAGAAAUUGAGAAAGAAUGUUUUAGGAGACAAAUGUAAUAUUUAGUUUGUAAUGAGUAUUUUGUUUGGCAGAGGGCUACUGAACAAAGAUUCCACUGUAAUAAAGUCCUUUUAGUUC